GGUGGAGUAGUGUAGAGGUUAGCACACCGGACCGGACAUUAGGAGUCCCAGAGUUCAAAUCCUGGCUGCGCCG
rfam:Ixodes scapularis strain Wikel colony gcontig_1107729025026, whole genome shotgun sequence.